rnacentral:rRNA from 1 species
UGGGGAAUCUUGGGCAAUGGGGGAAACCCUGACCCAGCGACGCCGCGUGGGGGAUGAAGGCCUUCGGGUCGUAAACCCCUGUUAGGUGGGACGAACGUCUUCUAGUGAAUAGCUGGAGGACCUGACGGUACCACCAGAGAAAGCCCCGGCUAACUCCGUGCCAGCAGCCGCGGUAAUACGGAGGGGGCGAGUGUUGUUCGGAAUUACUGGGCGUAAAGGGCGCGCAGGCGGCUUGGCAAGUCGAGUGUGAAAUCCCUUGGCUUAACUGAGGAAUGGCGCUCGAAACUACCACGCUGGAGGGCGGGAGAGGGAAGUGGAACUCUCGGUGUAGGGGGUGAAAUCUGUAGAUAUCGAGAGGAACACCGGUGGCGAAGGCGGCUUCCUGGCCCCGUACCUGACGCUGAGGCGCGAAAGCGUGGGGAGCAAACAGGAUUAGAUACCCUGGUAGUCCACGCCCUAAACGACGGGCACUAGGUGUGGGCGGUAUUAAUCCCGCCUGUGCCGUAGCUAACGCAUUAAGUG